UACAGAGGGUGCGAGCGUUAAUCGGAAUUACUGGGCGUAAAGCGUGCGUAGACGGUAGCGUAAGUCAGAUGUGAAAGCCCCGGGCUCAACCUGGGAACUGCAUUUGAGACUGCUCUGCUCGGGUGCGGAAGAGGGAAGCGGAAUUUCCGGUGUAGCGGUGAAAUGCGUAGAUAUCGGAAGGAACACCAGCGGCGAAAGCGGCUUCCUGGUCCGACACCGACGUUCAGGCACGAAAGCGUGGGGAGCAAACAGG
rnacentral:rRNA from 1 species